UCCCAAGGGUAUGGCUGUUCGCCAUUUAAAGUGGUACGUGAGCUGGGUUUAAAACGUCGUGAGACAGUUUGGUCCCUAUCUGCCGUGGGCGCUGGAUAUUUGAGGGGGCCUGCUCCUAGUACGAGAGGACCGGAGUGGACGAACCUCUGGUGUACCGGUUGUGACGCCAGUCGCAUCGCCGGGUAGCUAAGUUCGGAAGAGAUAACCGCUGAAAGCAUCUAAGCGGGAAACUCGCCUCAAGAUGAGAUAUCCCGGGGAUUCAAUCCCCCUGAAGGGUCGUCCAAGACCAGGACGUUGAUAGGCAGGGUGUGGAAGCGCAGCAAUGCGUUAAGCUAACCUGUACUAAUUGCCCGUGAGGCUUGACCCU
rnacentral:rRNA from 1 species